rnacentral:rRNA from 1 species
UACGUAGGGAGCAAGCGUUGUUCGGAUUUACUGGGCGUAAAGGGCGCGUAGGCGGCAAAUUAAGUCAGCUGUGAAAUCUCCGAGCUUAACUCGGAACGGUCAGCUGAUACUGAUCUGCUAGAGUGCGGAAGGGGCAAUCGGAAUUCUUGGUGUAGCGGUGAAAUGCGUAGAUAUCAAGAGGAACACCUGAGGUGAAGACGGGUUGCUGGGCCGACACUGACGCUGAGUGCGCGAAAGCCAGGGGAGCAAAUGGG